rnacentral:rRNA from 1 species
GAUGAAUGCUGGCGGCGUGCCUAACACAUGCAAGUCGAGCGGCAGCGCGAGUAGUUUACUACUUGGCGGCGAGCGGCGGACGGCUGAGUAACGCGUGGGAACAUACCCCAAAGUGAGGAAUAACUGCCCGAAAGGGUGGCUAAUGCCGCAUAUGGUCUUCGGAUUAAAGGAUUUAUCCGCUUUGGGAAUGGCCUGCGUACGAUUAGAUAGUUGGUGAGGUAAUGGCUCACCAAGUCUACGAUCAUUAACUGGUCUGAGAGGAUGAUCAGUCAGACUGGAGCUGAGACACGGUCCAGACUCCUACGGGAGGCAGCAGUGAGGAAUCUUCCACAAUGGGCGAAAGCCUGAGGGAGCAACGCCGCGUGCAGGAUGAAGACCUUCGGGUCGUAAAGCACUUUCAGCGAGGAGGAAAGGUUGGUAGCUAAUAACUGCCAGCUGUGACGUUACUCGCAGAAGAAGCACCGG